rnacentral:rRNA from 1 species
UACGAAGGGGGCUAGCGUUGCUCGGAAUCACUGGGCGUAAAGGGUGCGUAGGCGGGUUUUUAAGUCAGAGGUGAAAUCCUGGAGCUCAACUCCAGAACUGCCUUUGAUACUGAGAAUCUUGAGUAUGGGGGAGGUGAGUGGAACUGCGAGUGUAGAGGUGAAAUUCGUAGAUAUUCGCAAGAACACCAGUUGCGAAGGCGGCCGACUGGACACAUAUUGACGCUGAGGCUCGAAAGCAUGGGGAGCAAACAGG